CCCACACUCUAGUUAGCUGCCUUUUGUGGACUGAGUGCCAGUGGUGAAUAACAGAGAGCCCCUGUUGCUAAGCUGCAUCAUUACAAACAACAUUGCAACUUCCUUGAUGGUAGUUCAUCAACAAGGGAGAUGGAAGUCAUUAAGGAGACCAAUCUGGGACUUGUAAUUAACUAGGAGGAGCAAAAGCAUCUUGAACCAGCAGCAAGUGGACAUCUCAGUGAAGCAAAGAGAGAAGUCUCCCUUCUGAAAGUCGCACAAUACCAUGAAGCCCCAUCUUUGCCCCACUGCACCCCCAGGUGCUGAGAAGAAGCACUCAGAGGUGCCUCACCAGACCAACUGCCCAGCAGCACCUGGCGAAUGUCGGAAGCAUUCUGCUUGGAGGUUUUACACUUAGAAGGUAAUGCAGAAACUUCAUAAAUGAAGAGAACCAAAGAACGAUAGAUCACUUCCUAUGUCCAUUUCACAGAGGAAGACAAUAUUUCAAGGAAGUGGAUGUUUUAUAUCUACACUGUUUUCCACUUAGCCUCUGACCUCUUCUACUGCUGCUGUAAAUCUGAUGACUGCCCAGCUGUCAGCCUUCCAGACAGCAUUUCUCUCCAAUGCUCCUUUAGGGGAAGAAAAAGUGCACCAGGGGAGAGAGAGAGAGAUUGUCUCAGGUCCGUAUCUGAUUCCCGCAGAAUGAUAGACACCUUACUGCUUCCACCCACCCCUGUGAGAACAUCAGGUCUGGUUUCAAGGCUUCUGUCGCCAAGGUUUCUAAUCUGCAGGAUGCAAGACAGUCACUGGUUUCCUGAAGAAGGCAGGACAGCAUCUCCUCCUUCCCCCUGCCUUAUGUGCAGUUCUCGGUGUUCAGUCUCACAAAGGCUUGUGCAAAUCCUCCAGAUCCUAUCAGCCUCAAACCCUUCUCUCCAUAGGAGUCCCAAACCAGUCUAAGGACCAGUUAGGGACAGCAGGCACCAUUGGUACCCUGGAUCAUCUUCCCUAGCACAAGCCCCCAACAAAGUCUAUGAAGGGACACUGGUGGGGACUGGGACUGGGGGAGUGGGAAGUGGCAUCUAAUGUGAUCAAGGUCACAUCAAAGAAGAUUUAGGGCUAUAAAUAGGGCCCCAGACUCCACAAAUUCUCCCUGUUGUCUGAGGACUCCCAACUUUGCAGAAGACAAGGCACAGAGAGCUCCACUCAGAACUACGGAUGUGGUGGGGAAGUGGAAACCGAGCCGACAUUUGGUGUGUUGUAGCAUUCCCAUCUCUGGUUUAACACAAGCGAUGUGUUUCGCUCACAAACUGGCACUGAGAGCUCAUUUACAUUUAAAUAAGAGGCUUGUUAAUGCCAGCAGGAGGACGCUGUCAAUGCCAAGCCUGGCUCAGGAUUCCUGCCAAGGAGUUUCUAAGAGCAUCGCUCUAGGAAACUCCCCCAGAAGAGAGGCAAGCAUGCCUUCUCAUUAAGACAACUCCACCACAGUGACAUUUGCCUCAGAGCGGCAAGCCUUUGGCUGGGCUGAAAGCAAGUUGGAGUCUUAGAAAGUUAUCUGUUGCCAAGACAGUCAUUUAGUUUGAUUUGGCUCCACACCCACUCAGAGACCACCUGGCACAUGUAGGGUGGCCUGGUUGGGAGGGUGGCAGGCUCAUUCCUGACCUCUGGCCUCUUCAGUCAUAUUGGGAGGACUGGGUGUUACUAAGAAGCAAUGAAGACCAUCUUACAACAUAAAAAAGAGAGGGUCUACUCUGUUGUUGAACAGCUCUUAAUAUUGGAAGGUUCUUCCUGACAUUAACAUGAAAUACAUCUGUCUAUUGAAAGAAGGGUGUACUCAAAUGCCUAUAGAUGCCAAGCAGGGAACACAGAGGAGUGAGGCAAGCUGCUUAACCCUCAAAAGUGGUUGGGACUCUGGUAACGUGGCAUGUAGCUGCCUAGUCUAAAGGGGAAUGCACCGCUCAGCAAGAAUUGAUCUUGGGUUUUAUAAACAUGGAUCUUGUCCAAGUAGCUUAAAGACUAAUAAGGAAGUCAGAUAAUUAGACAGGAAUUACAACUCACCUAAUAGGUACUAUCCCAGGGAAGUAAAAAGUGCUUAGAAGCACAUGGGAGUGAUAAGGGUGCAUACCCCAGAAUUUCAAGGUCAUGAAGGGACUGAUCUUUAGGUUUAAUACGAAGGAUGGGCAGAAAUUAGCCAGGCAAAGAUGGGUGGGGAGAGAGGAAAGAGCAGGGGCAGAGGCUCUGAGGCAAGAAAGAAAGCAAAGUACAUUUGAGAACUUAAAGAAAUUUUGUAUGAUGAGAGCUUAAAAAAUUCAAGGUAAUGAAAAGGCAGACAAGUGAAUAGGGACUAGAUUGUGAAGGGCUUUCCAAGCCACUGAGAGUUUGGACUUUAGCCUAAGAGAAAUGAGGUUAAACAGAGGAGUAACAGACUCAGUCCCCCAAAAGUUAAGUACUCCCAGUUCUGAUAAAGGAGGCAAUGUGGUGGAUAAAGCUCAGGACUCGGAGUCAGAAAGCUGUGGGCUCUGGUUCUUGGCUCCACCACUCUAUGAACAUGGGCAGGCCUCAUUUCUCUCUCCUGUAAAAUGGGAAGAACAUAUACCAAUGUUGGUGAAAUAAAGGGGAAAAGGGAACUGUCAUAACCUGUUGGUGGUAUAGUUAAAUUGUAAAUUAUUACUAAAACCUUCUCAGGCUCGACAAGCGUUUGACAAUAUGUACUAGAAACCUUAAGAAUGUGCAUUCUCUUGGGCCCAGAAAUUCCAUUUCUAAUAUUAGCCUAAAGAAAAAAAUUAAGUUGUUUGCAAAUAUUUAACCACAAUGGUAUUCAAUGUAGUGUUGUUUAUAAGAGUAAAAAAAAAAAAAGGUGUAAUUUAAGUCUUUGCUGAUUGGAUAGUCUUUAAAUCCUUUAUCCUGCUGAGGUCAACUUGGCCUUUAACAUUUAACCAAGAUUGGCUCAGAUGCUCAUCUCAUGUGCUGGGGAAACCCUGCGACCACAAUCCCAAUAUCUCUGGUGAUUCUUGUUCUUUGAGUUGCCUAUGCCUCCAAAAUCUGUUUAAUUCUCUGUCCCCAUCGUGUAUUUUGCACAUGUCCCUUUUCUGAAUAAUACCACUCUGUACAAUACAAUCCACUCCAAAUAGCCUUCACUCCCCCAGAUACCUUGGACACAAAGAAGCAGUGUGAUCAACUUUCACUAAGGAUUUGGACAAUGAAGGGGUUGACCUUCAGCAGACAACUACAUUUUUUAGCAACCUCCAGUCUCAACCUCUUUCCAUCUACUCAUCUCUGUUUUCCAGGAUCCCUUGUUCUUGGUCUCCUCCUUGCCUAUUCAUCCCUCAGUUAUUUCCCUUCCGUUAUAUUUUUCAAAUUCACCUGGCUCUCUGCUCCUCAAUUGCUACCCCAUCCUAACCAGAGACUCAUGAAUGGAUUCAACUCAGGAUCUUACCCGGUAACAGCACAAAAAAGUCUUAAGGUUUCUUUCCCUUUUUUGCUCCCCCAGUGGCCUCUGUAAGUGGAAGGACACAGUAGGAUUUAUUUUCCCCUUCAUAUGCAUUAUUCCACCCUCUUCCCAUUUUCGAAGGCAAAAGAGGCACAAUAUUUUUGUUUUGUUUUUGUUUUAAUACUCUCAUUGCUCUUGGAGAUACUGUUAAUGUCCUACAACCAGAAUGAAAUAAGUCAUGGCACAGCUAUGCCAUGGAGCAUAAAAGAGAGGUUAGGAUGAGGUUGUGGAACAGGUAUCAACAUGGGAAAAUGUUCAGGAUCUAUAGUUCAGUGAAAAAUGAAAAUACAAAACAAUGGAUAUACUACAACUCCAUUUAAAAAUAUGCAUUCACUUGUAUGUAUACAGGAAUAAAGACUAGAAAAUGACAUUACCAGUAAUCUCCAGAGCAGUGGUUCUCAGUGGGAGUGACUUCACUGCUGGGGGCAUAUGGCAAUAUAUGGUGAUAUUUUUGCUUCUUCCAAAUGUGGGGGACAGCGUACUAAUGGCAUCUAGUGGGUAGAGGCUAGAGAUGCUGCAAAACAUCCUACAAUGCACCGGACAGCCCUCACAACAAAGGAUUACCCAGCUCAAAAUGUCAGGGUGCUGAGGUUAAGAAAUCCUUCUUUAGAUGUGGGUUUAUGGAAUACUACAACUUUCUUUUUUGCUUGUUCACAUUUUCCAAUUUUUCUACAAUGAGCAUGCAACUCAUGUGUAGUUCUUUUUUAAUGCACAUUAAGUGAAUACUUCUGAAGAAGAUCUGGAGCAAAUGCCUAUGUUUUUGCCGUAAGAUAACUCACUUGGAAGUACUUAGCACAGUGCUCACUCACCACCAUGUUUCCUCACCACCAUGGUGCCUUUCUCUAAACCCACUCCUUUAAAGUGGAACCAAGGGGCAGGGGACCCAAUCCCUCAGAAGUAGCAGAUGACUGUCUUCCCAGCUGUGCUUCUAGUCAUUCUCCCUGCGAUGGCCCAAGCCUUUGGGCACUUGUCGGUGAGCCAGUGAACUUGCUAUUCACUGAAACUUCUUUAACUUUGUCACAUAAGUAGUCCCCUGAAGCAUCUCAACAGAACCAGAGGAGUCUGGUCAGAGGAGACGGGGUGCCCCUGCACACACAGAAUUUCAGGCUUCUGAUCCUCCAUUUACAAAGCUGUAUCUUGGGGAUGCUGUUGCCUCAGAGAACCUUUGCCAGGGAAUGGUUCUUGUGGUAAUCAAAGUGUGUUCACUUGGAAGUUUAAUCACUUAAAGGAGUGGUUUAUUGCCCCCACAGACUCCUCUGCUGUGAACAUUAGACCUAAUUAGUAGCUGAAAUAGUGAUGAUUUAGCAGAGCCUCUGUAUUUGAUGGCUGUGGUUUCUGGGCCACCAAUCACAGUUGAAAAGAAAAAGGCAAUCAGCUCUGCCAGGUAAUGAACACUUCUUCCUAAUUCCCAGGGAGCUGAAAGGCCCUGUCGGGGCUGGCUUUUCAUUUGACCCUAAAACUGGUGGAAACUCAAUGGUUAUAGAAAUGACUCACACCCUGAGAAAAGUGAAUCCUACAUCUGGAAGGGGCUUUGGUUGAUUUUUGGAAGGGCACUGUGCCUCUUUGUGAGUGUAUCUAGCUUCUUGCAAGGAAAGGAGCAAAAUCUCAGAGAGGGGAGAUUUUCCUCUUUACCCAGGGAUAGCAGACUUUCUCUGGAAUGUAGGAUGGGACAGUCAUUCCCUCUGCCACCGGAUUGGUUGGGAAAGAGGAGAAGUUGAGGCUGCUGAUUUUCAGAACUAAGACUAAAUGUGGAAACUAAUAGAGACUGCAGUCAGGAGGAGUUGGGUGAAGCAGGGGCUAGCAUCUUCCAAGAUUUUGGAAGGAGAGAAGGAGUGGAGGAAAUAUUUGGACUUCAUUUGGUCUGAAGGCUUGGAUUAGACAAUUUUGGCUGUCUAUCAUCUGCCACUGAUGUGGGAGAAGGAACCCCUCUGAUUUUCCAAUGGCACAUUUAAUGACUGUCCUUCUUCUCUGUUUGCUCUCUUUGAAGACAUUCCCAGGGCUUCAGUUCUGUUCAUUUCUCCAUUUUCUCUCUGAGAGAAGUCAUUACCAAUCUUGUCUCCAGUGGUGUAGUCCACAUGGAACAAGGCUCUGAAUCUCUUUACUCAUUCAAAACACCACUUGUUUCCCAGAAGGCAGAACUAAGAGGAAUAGUCUACAGGGAGGCAGAAGAAACUGCUGGCAACCCAAAGGCGUGAGGACUUGUUUUGGAAGGAACAGAGCUCCCGAAGAAAGAGAAUGUUUACAUUGAGCCUGAAAAGAUUAGCGGGGAUGUUGUGGUGAUGCCACAGAUCUCAUGAUGGGCAGGGAAAGUGUUGGCUCCCCGCUAGAUGGCCUGGGCAGGGUCCUUUCCAACUUGGAUUUCAAUUUUCUUUGUUGCUUUUGUAAAUAAUACAGGACAACAACAAGAAAACCCCAAAAAAUACAAGAACAAAAAGCCAUUGCUAAACUUAAGGGACCUCUUGGGAGAUUUUUUCCCCCUUCCAUUUUUUUUUUCCUCUCAAGUGGUUAUGAUGUGCAGGAAGUCAUUCUGUCCAGACAGCAAAGUAUAACAACGGCCUGGAACUUUUCCAUUCUAUUGAGUCAAAAAAAAAAAAAAAGUGCCAGAGGAAGUAAUAUUAGUCAGUACUUAGUCACACUUGAAAACAAUGGGACAGUUUAGAUUGGCUUGACAUCACACAUUUACAUCUGGUUUUGGCCAAGGCGAAGCCUUUUCAGUUGGCAAGUUUUGUCUGCUGUUUGAAGGGAUUAGAGUUCUUCCUCACCCCUGUAUUACAAUAAAGAAUAUAAAAUGGUUCUUCACAGUUCCUAUGGGAGAAAGGUUUCACAUACAAACUUAGAAAGAUUUGCGAAGGAGAAAAGGGAGUGGAAAAUCUCUCAGCGGCAAGAAAGGACAAGUCUCUACUGGCUGGUCUUCAUCUCCUCCUGGAGAAAUGGAAUUGCCUUCCCCUUACUCUGCAACCACACUUCUCCAUCUGUCUCCACUUCCUUUAAGGACAGCUCUGGAAAGAGAGCACAUCUUAACCCUUACCAUCCCACAGAGAUGCACUCAUGCACUUAUUCAUUCCAUCUCCACUCAAUAUGCGUUUAUUCAAAGUCUGUUACAUACCUGGCUCAGUGCAUAUGGAAAUGAGUAAAACACAAUUUCCAACCUUCAAGGUUUUAGUCUAGCUGGAAGUUUGACUAGAAGAAAAGUAAAUUUUAGCUUAAUAUAGUAAGUAUCCUUGUAUAUGUCUGCUAGAAGUUGUAUGGGCUUAUAUAUAUAAUAGUGACAAACACCAUCCUGGGAGUCAAGGAAAGAAAAUUUCUGGAGGAGGUAACAUUGGGGCCAGGUCUUGGAGUAUGAGUAGCAUCAAAGUUAAAUAAAGCCAGACAUUAGUUAAAGUGGAGAAAAUGGAUUUUUAUUCUGUAACUACUGAUGGGAGGGGAAAGAAUUGAGCUCCAUUUCCAUUUGCGCAGGGGUUAUUGGGCAUUUUAAAGGGAGAAUGAGGUAGUAGGGCAGGCAGUGGACUGGGGGCUCAAGUAGAGUUAGGGAAGUGAAAAAUUACAAAAAGCGAGUCAGAGGGUUGGUUAGUGUAAAUGCGACCAGGCCAGCUGUAUUGCCAGCUGGCUAUCGUGAAGUUAGGAUUCUAUCCUCCCACAGACUGGGAGACAGAGGCCUAUGCUUCCUGAUGAUUGCAUUUCAAAGAAAUGGCUUUUAGGUCCUUGAAAGACAUUCCUGGGCUGUAGGAGAUACAUAGGUAUUUAUCUCAAAGUUACCGAGGAAAGAUUCACAACUGUAAGUUUUUUAAAGCAAAUGCUCAAAGAAAGGGUGGGGUGGAGGUGGGGGGGUGGUGCCGUCAGGGGCCUAUUGUCAGGUCUUGGUCAGAAGAAAUGGUAAAUUCUUUGAUAGCUUUUAGCUUUUUCAGACAGAAACUCAAUGUGAGGCUUGGUUGUCCCAGGGAUGUGGCCUUAGGCUGCCAGCAGCCAUGCUAGGGUUGGUCAAGUCUCUUAGUGCAGGAGUUUGGAUGGAGUCCUUAUGUGCCAGAGCUCUUUUGUAGUCGUCACUGGGUGCCAGACGGGAAGCGGAAGGGACAGCAUAUACACAAAGAAGUGAGUACAAAGGCAUGGAGAAGCGAGAAGGCGUGAUUUGGAAAUGUGGCAUAGUUUAAUGGUGGGUAUGUUGGGGGUGGAGUGGGACUAGAUAAGUCUGGAAAGAUAGCUGAGUCUUCAAGGUCAUGCCAAGGAAUUUGGGUUGUAUCCUAAGGGCAAGGGAGAGUAAGUAAAGGUUAGGAUCAAGGGAACAGUGUGGUCUGAUUUGUGGCUUGGAAAUAGGCUGGGCAUCAUGGAGAAUGGUUUAGAGGUGGAGUGAAGUGCUAAGUUCAGAAAGACUGAGACAAGGAGAUAAGUGUGGACUCUGUGGAAUGAUUUCCUAGAGGAAUGAAAACCUGGGUGGACAAAGUAAGGGAGACGGGUGUUAAGGAGAAGGAUGGGACAGGAUGUGGGGAGCCAUUAGAUGAGGAAAUGGGAGGGAUUUGGGACAAAAUUGAGGUUUGGGCCUUGGGUGAUCCAAAGGACAUGGCAGACUAUUGACACGACCAUCCUGUGUUUAUUUCUUCCUUCUUCCUAUUUACCCAGCUCAUUCCCUUUAUAAGAGAGUUGAGAGGGAGGAGUCUCUGACCUGAAUUUAGGAAUCUUGCUUGUGGUACUUCAUGCGGAACUCUCUACCAUUGCCAGUUGUACAUCAUCAUAUGGAAGUAAUGAGUAUUUCAUUUACUUCCUGAGCAUAAGAGUCAAGGCAGAAAAGAGGUAAAAUGCUUUGCUUUGGAAAUAAAUCUGAGGUGAAGUUGAAAGAGGAUCAAUUUAAUUCCAUUGGAUUUUUUUUAAGGAUCUGUGAUGGGCCAGGCUAUGCUAGAUACUUUGGGGACACCUAAGUUAAUAAGACCAUUCCCUCCCCGGAAAAAUCUUAAUAAUUGUUGUACACAAGUGAGGAAUGAGGAUAUGUUAGUUUGCACUGUAAUGGGAACCCGGAAGAGGAAGUAAUCAGUUUCAAUAAAGUAAGCAAUGAAAAUUUCAUAGAAGAAAAGUCUUUAUAGAAGGUGCCAGAAGCAGAGAAGUGUGGGAAGAGAGAGGGGAAAUGUCCUAUAAUUGCAUGACCACCAGUGAGAGCUUUGUUCCUCAGUUUCCAUUUUCUACUCAUCCUCAUCUAUAUUUACUAAAGGAGUUACUUCCAGGAUUUUGUUUUAAAAAGUGUUGAGAAAUACUGGGGCUUUCCUUAGCAGUCUCCCAAGGCAGCCUUGAUCUCAGAUGUCCUGGUCAUGAAGGAUGUAUUGUGCACUUGUCUCUACACUGGAAUGCAAAGUGGAGUUAUCAGGGAGCACUUUUUCCUUCUUUUCUUUUUUAACUAUUAUAUUAUGAAACAUAUGAUAGAUGUAGAUCACAUACUAUGAUGUAAAAUAAUAAAAUAAAUGCUUAUGAACCUACAAUCCUUCUAAAGAAAUAGAAUAUUAAUAACACCACUGAAGCUUCCCAUAGGCCUUUCACCAAUCGCAUCUCCCUUCUUUUAUCCUAUAUCCCCAGGAUAUAUAUAAGGAUAUAUAUAAGGACAUAUAUAUAUCCUUAGACAACAUAAUUAGUUUUGCUUGUUUUAAAAUUUUAUGUAAAUGAUGUAUUUAUUCUUUUAUGACUGCUUUUUCCUCUAAUAUUAUGUUUCUGAUAAUUCACCAUAUUGAUUUAUUUAACUAUAGUUCAUUAAUUUUCACUGUUAUACAUUAUUCUAUUGCAGAAAUAUACUAUUAUUUACUUAUCAAUUUUCCUUGGAUGAACAUUUGUGUUAUUGUCGACUUUUUGCCAUUACAAAUAAUAAAGUUCUGUAUCUUGAUGAAUGCCUCUGGAGCACAUAGGCAAGAGCACAAUUACUGGUCACAGGAUUUGCAUGUCUUCCUCGUUAUUAGAUAAUGCUAAAUUAUUUUCCAAAGUGAUUUUAGCAAUUUACACUCCCACCACUAUUGUAUAUAAAUACCCAUUGCUUCAUAUCAUCUCCAAUAUUUGACAUAGACUUUUAGAUUUUUGCUGAUGUGGUUGGUGUGAAGUGGUAAUUCAUAUUGGUUUUAAUUUGCAUUUCCCUAAUGACUAACUUAAGCAUUCUUUCAUACGUCAGUUGGCCAUGUGCAUUUCCUUUUCCAUGAAAUGCCUGUUCUUGUGCCCAUUUUUCUAUUGAAUUUUCCUUUUGUUAGGAAUUUUUUGUGUAUUCUGGAUAGUAAUCCUUUGUCAGUUUUGUGUCUGGCAAAUAGCUUUUCCCAGCCUGAAGCUAUUGGGAGUCUUUUGAUUAACCAUAUUUCUUAAUUUUAAUGAAGUCUAAAUGAUCAAUUCUUUUAUUUGUAAUUUUCAUGUUUUUAAUUUUGUUCAAGAAAUCCUUCAUGUCCUAAAGGUCAAAAAGAUUUUUUAAUAGGUCUUAAAGUUUUGCCUACAUGAGGUAGGCAUUGGACGUUAUUUUUUUCCACAUGAAAACCAAUGAUCUCAGCUGCUACCCUUUCCACAGUGGUCUGCAAUAUCAUUCAUGUCAUAUAUUAAGUUGCUAUAAAUAGAUGGUUUUGUUCGAAGAUUCUUAACUAUGGUCCAUCUGUAUAUUUGACUUUUUUUAAUACAAAUAAUAUGUUGCCCUAAUUACUAUAGCUUUAUAGAAAAUCUUACCUGGUAAAGAAAAUUAUCCUUCUUUCUUCUUCAAAAACGUCUUGGGUAUUUUUGCAUUUGCUUUUCCAAGUAAAUUUUAGAGUUAGCUUAUCAAAGUCCAUAAAAAAUUCUGGUGAGAUUUAAAUUAGAAUUUCAUUAAAAAUAUGGACCAAUUUAGGGAGAAUUUACAUUUCUCUGCUAUUAUUUCCUAGUUUCGCUUUGGUACAUCUUUCCACUUAUUUUUUUCUGCUUUAAUGUCUUUCAGC
ensembl:lncRNA